rnacentral:rRNA from 1 species
AACGUAGGUGGCAAGCGUUAUCCGGAUUUACUGGGCGUAAAGCGUGUGCAGGCGGGGGGGCACGUGGGGUGUGAAAUCGCCAGGCUAAACCUGGCGGGGUUAUGCCAGACUGUCCGUCUGGAGUGCGAGAGAGGGGCGUGGAAUUCCGGGUGUAGUGGUGAAAUGCGUAGAGAUCCGGAGGAACCCCAGAGGCGAAGGCGGCGCCCUGGCUCGCAACUGACGCUCAGACACGACAGCAUGGGGAGCGAACGGG